UCCCUAGUAGUCCAGUGGCUAAGAUGCUGCACUCCCGAAGCAGAGGACCCAGGUUUGAUCCCUGAUUGGGGAA
rnacentral:tRNA from 1 species